rnacentral:lncRNA from 1 species
GCUCUGUUCCUGCUUCGGCAGGACUCUUCUCCACUCUCCAGUGAGCUUCAUCUCUGUCAUUGUCCUCUUGAUCCCGGGGCACAUUUUCAAGUUUAUCUCUCAAUGGCUCUGCCUUAAUUUUCUUCAGUGUGGAUUCUGCUCAUCGAUGUGUCCUGCAGGAAUUUUCAAUCUGAAGUCGAGACCCGCAUGCACACAACUCAUCCACGGCUCAGAAUUGCCCGAGACUUUUCAGCAACCAUAUGCAAGGGUAGCGCGUGAGAAACUAGCAAGGACGUGGACGCCUGCCUCAUCGGAACAUGGCGCUUCACUGUAAAGAACCUACUGUGUUUGCGCGCCAUCGCAGAUGGAGAAACCCACAUGGCGGUUUGUCUAAGUGUUCUGCUGCCUCAUGUCUCCCUGUACCUCCAG